rnacentral:piRNA from 1 species
UACUCGCGCUGACUAGCCUCCUAGC